UCGACAUGUGAAUUCAUAGCAUGUCAGAAGGCAGACCCGGAGAACUGAAACAUCUUAGUACCCGGAGGAAGAGAAAGAAAAAUCGAUUCCCUGAGUAGCGGCGAGCGAAACGGGAAGAGCCCAAACCAACAAGCUUGCUUGUUGGGGUUGUAGGACACUCUAUACGGAGUUACAAAAGAACAUGUUAGACGAAUCAUCUGGAAAGAUGAAUCAAAGAAGGUAAUAAUCCUGUAGUCGAAAACAUAUUCUCUCUUGAGUGGAUCCUGAGUACGACGGAGCACGUGAAAUUCCGUCGGAAUCUGGGAGGACCAUCUCCUAAGGCUAAAUACUCUCUAGUGACCGAUAGUGAACCAGUACCGU
rnacentral:rRNA from 1 species